UUUAAAGAAAGCGUAAUAGCUCACUGAUCGAGUCGUCCUGCGCGGAAGAUGUAACGGGGCUAAGCCAGUUACCGAAGCUGCGGAUGUGCAAUUUAUUGCACGUGGUAGGAGAGCGUUCUGUAGGCCUGUGAAGGUGUCUGGUAACGGAUGCUGGAGGUAUCAGAAGUGCGAAUGCUGACAUGAGUAGCGUUAAAGGGGGUGAAAAGCCCCCUCGCCGUAAGCGCAAGGUUUUCUACGCAACGUUCAUCGGCGUAGAGUGAGUCGGCCCCUAAGGCGAGGCAGAGAUGCGUAGCUGAUGGGAAACAGGUCAAUAUUCCUGUACCGAUCAAUAGUGCGAUGUGGGGACGGAGAAGGUUAGCUCAGCCAACUGUUGGAUAUGUUGGUUCAAGCCUGUAGUCGUGCCUGGUAGGCAAAUCCGCCGGGCUUAGAUGAGGGGUGAUAACGAGUCUGCUUGCAGACGAAGUGAGUGAUACCCUGCUUCCAGGAAAAGCCACUAAGCUUCAGCUAUUGACGACCGUACCGCAAACCGACACUGGUGCGCGAGAUGAGUAUUCUAAGGCGCUUGAGAGAACUCAGGAGAAGGAACUCGGCAAAUUGAUACCGUAACUUCGGGAGAAGGUAUGCCCCAAGUAGGUGAACUCGUACAGAGGGAGCCCAAAGGGGUUGCAAAAAAUCGGUGGCUGCGACUGUUUAUUAAAAACACAGCACUC
rnacentral:rRNA from 1 species